rnacentral:rRNA from 1 species
AGCAGCCGCGGUAAUUCCAGCUCCAAUAGCGUAUAUUAAAGUUGCUGCAGUUAAAAAGCUCGUAGUUGAAUUUCGGGACUAAUAUGUCGGUCGUGCCUCGGUACGUACUGGCUUAUUGGUUUCUCCUUUCUGAAGAACCAUGAUGUCAUUUAUUUGGUGUCGUGGGGAAUCAGGACUGUUACUUUGAAAAAAUUAGAGUGUUUAAAGCAGGCUCACGCUUGAAUACAUUAGCAUGGAAUAAUGAAAUAGGACGUUUGAUUCUAUUUUGUUGGUUUCUAGGAUCGACGUAAUGAUUAAUAGGGAUAGUUGGGGGCAUUAGUAUUCAAUUGUCAGAGGUGAAAUUCUUGGAUUUAUUGAAGACUAACUACUGCGAAAGCAUUUGCCAAGGAUGUUUUCAUUAAUCAAGAACGAAAGUUAGGGGAUCGAAGACGAUCAGAUACCGUCGUAGUCUUAACCAUAAACUAUGCCGACUAGGGAUCGGAUGAUGUUAAUUUAAUGACUCA